ACGGCUCAGUAACACGUAGGUACCUACCCUCAGGACUGAGAUAACCCCGGGAAACUGGGGCUAAUAUUAGAUAGAUAAAAGGUACUGGAAUGUUCUUUUAUCCAAAGCUUUUGCGCCUGAGGAUGGGCCUGCGUCCGAUUAGGUUGUUGGUGGGGUAAUGGCCCACCAAGCCUGCGAUCGGUACGGGCAGUGAGAGCUGAAGCCCGGAGUUGGGGACUGAGACAAGGCCCCAGGCCCUACGGGGCGCAGCAGGCGCGAAACCUCUGCAAUGCGGGAAACCGUGACAGGGGGAUCCCAAGUGCUCAUGCAUUGCAUGGGCUGUUCUUUGGUCUAAGUAACCAGAGGAGUAAGGGCUGGGCAAGACCGGUGCCAGCCGCCGCGGUAAUACCGGCAGCUCAAGUGGUAGCCGCGAUUAUUGGGCCUAAAGCGUUCGUAGCCGGAUAAGUAAGUCUUUGGUUAAAUCCUACAACUCAACUGUGGGAAAUCUAGGGAUACUACUUGUCUUGAGACCGGGAGAGGUUAGAGGUACUCCUAGGGUAGGGGUGAAAUCCUGUAAUCCUAGGGGGACCACCUGUGGCGAAGGCGUCUAACUGGAACGGGUCUGACGGUGAGGGACGAAACCUAGGGGAGCGAGCCGGAUUAGAUACCCGGGUAGUCCUAGGCGUAAAUGAUGCGAGUUAAGUGUGGGGACAUCUACGAGAUGGCCCUGUGCUGUAGGGUAGCCGUUAAACUCGCCGCCUGGGGAGUACGGUCGCAAGGCUGAAACUUAAAGGAAUUGGCGGGGGAG
rnacentral:rRNA from 1 species